CCUCAUUAUAAAUUUUUUCAGGAUAUAGGGGAUGGAGUUUUUGUUCCCUUUUUUAAAAAUUUUUCUUCUGACAUCAAACACCCACUAUAUAAAAGGGAAUAUGCUGCAAACUAUGGAAUAAAAAUAUGCAUGAUAGGAUCCCUGCUCUCCAAGAGCUCACGGACCAACAAGUGAGAUGGACAAGUAACCCACAAUGUGAUAAGAUAGCAGCAUAGAAACACCAUGUCUGAAAAGGCAGAGUUGGAGGCUUGCUGGCUGACAGAUAAAAGCACCAUGUCUGUAUUCACUAUUUCUGGGGAAAAAUGCCCCAAAUUAUUGGCCAGAGUAAAUAAUAUGCCACAUUGGCAAAUUUACCAGAAAUUGACCAACUUAGAUUUUCUUUCUUUGUGAGAAUGAUCAAUCCUUUGUCAUUUUGCCUGAAAUAGUCACAAAGUAUUGGAUGUGGACAUUUUAGACCUAUGAGGACAUUGGUAAGUCAAGGGGCUGGAUUAUAGUGAACACAGUCUUUGUUUCCAAAUGUCUAACAUCCAUUCCAACUUUUGGUUCUGUCAAAUUUUGUUUGAGGAAUACCUUCUCUCCAUUUUGAAAAAUGGGAGGAGGGGAUCAUAUGAUUGUAAUUAAGUUCAUCAGAUGCUUUGUUCUGUGAACCUGAAAUGAGUAGAAUACAGACAAGACUGAAGGUGGUUUGAACAAAUUUAUUUCAUGACUCCUCAAGUUCCUUUAAGUCUAACUAUUCAGACUUUAUACCAAUUAUGUGAGCUAUUGUAAAUAUUUCUUACAAAUUAUCUUUUUGCCUAAACAAGGCAGAUUUAAUGAACUAACAACAAACAUUGUUAAAAUAAGCUAGCAAUUCUCUUAUCAAAAUAUAAACAAAAAAUAGAUAACUGAGCUUUGGUUUUUGAUUAUCUACCACAAUUGUGUUUGUUAUUCAUAAGCAUAUAUGAGAACGUGUAUCUGCCCGAGAAUGCAUUUAUUAUGGGUCAGGAGUAUGAAUUUGAAGAUAGGAAAGGGUGACAGAAUAUCAGCAGGCAGUGUGAACAUUUUAUAUGCUCUAUAUUCUGUGAGCCUAGAAAUAUGACUUAGAAAGUGAAGUUUGCAAGAAUAUGAUUUGUAGAGCUGUGGGAACACAAUAAUAAAAAUUCUUUCUUUGAAGAAAGAAAGAAGUUA
rnacentral:lncRNA from 1 species